rnacentral:rRNA from 1 species
AUACGUAGGGGGCGAGCGUUGUCCGGAAUGAUUGGGCGUAAAGGGCGCGUGGGCGGCGCGGUAAGUCUGGAGUGAAAGUCCUGCUUUCAAGGUGGGAAUUGCUUUAGAUACUGCCGCGCUUGAGUGCAGGAGAGGUUAUCGGAAUUCCCGGUGUAGCGGUGAAAUGCGUAGAGAUCGGGAGGAACACCAGUGGCGAAGGCGGGUAACGGGACUGCAACUGACGCUGAGGCGCGAAAGUGUGGGGAGCAAACAGGAUUAGAUACCCUGGUAGUCCACACUGUAAACGAUGAAUGCUAGGUGUAAGAGGUAUCGACCCCUUUUGUGCCGGAGUCAACACAAUAAGCAUUCCGCCUGGGGAGUACGGCCGCAAGGUUGAAACUCAAAUGAAUUGGCGGGG